GUCACUGAGGAAGAGGUGGCCUUGGUGGGU
rnacentral:piRNA from 1 species